UACAGAGGGGGCAAGCGUUGUUCGGAAUUACUGGGCGUAAAGGGCUCGUAGGCGGCCAACUAAGUCAUACGUGAAAUCCCUCGGCUUAACCGGGGAACUGCGUCUGAUACUGGAUGGCUUGAGUUCGGGAGAGGGAUGCGGAAUUCCAGGUGUAGCGGUGAAAUGCGUAGAUAUCUGGAGGAACACCGGUGGCGAAGGCGGGUCUCUGGGCCGAUACUGACGCUGAGGAGCGAAAGCGUGGGGAGCGAACAGG
rnacentral:rRNA from 1 species